GGUGCGACACUCUAAUCUUUUUGGAAUCACUUUUAAAGAUUCGAAAUGAUUCAAAAAGAUUCGAAAAGAUUCGGCGUGAUUCAAGAAAAAAAGUUGGCCCGACAGUGAUAUCCAAAUAACCACAACUUUUAGUUCAGUGUUUGUUUUGAUCUGGAGAGCGCGAAGCCUUUCGUUUUCUUCUCUUGCUGUGUAGUAAAAUAAAGUGCCGACAAGUGAAGGAGGGUGAUGGACUCCAACGUAUGGCUCAAAGAAGAGGUCAUCGACCCCGUGGCGGCCGCGCAUACGAUGACUGAAUUGUUUAGCAACGAACCACUCUCCAUUUCCGCCGUACAGCAAAUAAAGUGUCAAAGCGUCAAAGAUAGACCACCACUUCCGACAGUUCCACGAGAUUACACAGGAUCUUUCGUUUCGACGUAUUGCCGUAUCCAGACUUACUUCGAUGAGCAAAUUGCGACAAGUUUUAUACAUAUAAUUAUUUAAUGUAUUAUACCAUUAUACAUAUUGCUGAUUCAAAAUAAAUAUUACGGGGGUGGGUUUUUACU